GAUACGACCGUACCGCAAACCGACACUGGUGCGCGAGAUGAGUAUUCUAAGGCGCUUGAGAGAACUCAGGAGAAGGAACUCGGCAAAUUGACACCGUAACUUCGGAAGAAGGUGUGCCCUAUUAGUGUGUAGUGAACAACGAAGCAUGAAUGGGUUGCAAAAAAUCGGUGGCUGCGACUGUUUAUUAAAAACACAGCACUCUGCAAACACGAAAGUGGACGUAUAGGGUGUGACGCCUGCCCGGUGCUGGAAGAUUAAAUGAUGGGGUGCAAGCUCUUGAUUGAAGUCCCAGUAAACGGCGGCCGUAACAAUAACGGUCCUAAGGUAGCGAAAUUCCUUGUCGGGUAAGUUCCGACCUGCACGAAUGGCGUAACGAUGGCCACACCGUCUCCUCCUGAGACUCAGCGAAGUUGAAAUGUUUGUGAUGAUGCAAUCUCCCCGCGGAAAGACGGAAAGACCCCAUGAACCUUUACUGUAGCUUUGUAUUGGACUUUGAACAGAUCUGUGUAGGAUAGGUGGGAGGCUUUGAAGCAGGGUCGCUAGAUCUUGUGGAGCCAACGUUGAAAUACCACCCUGGUGUGUUUGAGGUUCUAACCUAGGUCCAUUAUCUGGAUCGGGGACAGUGCAUGGUAGGCAGUUUGACUGGGGCGGUCUCCUCUCAAAGCGUAACGGAGGAGUUCGAAGGUACGCUAGUUACGGUCGGACAUCGUGACGAUAGUGCAAUGGCAUAAGCGUGCUUAACUGCGAGACUGACAAGUCGAGCAGAUGCGAAAGCAGGACAUAGUGAUCCGGUGGUUCUGUAUGGAAGGGCCAUCGCUCAACGGAUAAAAGGUACUCUGGGGAUAACAGGCUGAUACCGCCCAAGAGUUCAUAUCGACGGCGGUGUUUGGCACCUCGAUGUCGGCUCAUCUCAUCCUGGGGCUGUAGCCGGUCCCAAGGGUAUGGCUGUUCGCCAUUUAAAGAGGUACGUGAGCUGGGUUUAAAACGUCGUGAGACAGUUUGGUCCCUAUCUUCCGUGGGCGCUGCAGAUUUGAGGAAGCCUGCUCCUAGUACGAGAGGACCGGAGUGGACACACCUCUGGUGUAUCGGUUGUCACGCCAGUGGCAUUGCCGAGUAGCUAAGUGUGGAAGAGAUAACCGCUGAAAGCAUCUAAGCGGGAAACUCGUUUCAAGAUGAGAUCUGCCGGGGCCUUGAGCCCCCUAAAGAGUCGUUCAAGACCAGGACGUUGAUAGGUCAGGUGUGGAAGC
rnacentral:rRNA from 1 species